ensembl:lncRNA uncharacterized LOC114434639
CACAACUUCCGGUGCAAAAACGAAAACACAGCCACCAGCUGACUGGAAGUAAGCAAGAGCAGAAAGUGUAGAAAUACUGUGGAGGAUUUCUGCUUUAAAGUGUUCGUCUGUGUUUAAAUGCUCAUAUAUCAGCUGAGAGAGCAAGCAGAGGAAUGUUAGCAGGACAGGGAGGAAACUGCUGUCUGGAAAUAAUCAGAGAGGAGUCUAAACAAAGAGUGAGGAAUGGGCAGCGAGUACCAACCACUGUCUUGUGCAGAGUCAUGCAGAAGUUUGUUUAUAGAGACAACAGAGUGCUUUAUAUGCAAGGAUGGUGAAGUCAAAGCCAGUGACCCACUGAAGAACUUCUGUGACUGCAAGAAUUUGCUUGCCCAUCACAUGUGUCUAUCCACAUGGAUCCAAAGGGGAUGUGGGAGUGAAGACAGACUGCGAUGCAUCAUUUGCAAGGCCAAGUACCAGCUGCAGAGGAACUCUCCGUGGCGGUCGGUGAGCUUCCAGUGGCAGACGUGGCUUGUGCUGAUCGUCCUGUUUGCUUUGAUGGGGCUGGUGCCUUACGUCGUUCACUGCUUGAUGACCGCCUUCACCAAACCGCCCCCUCCCAGCACCUUUAAAGUGGCAGCAGCCUCUUUUGGUAUCCUGACAGAGAUCCUGCUCAUCAGGUGUCUGUGGAGCUUCCUCAGCGGUCGGUACCGGCGGGCCGAGCAGACCGCCUUCACAGUCCAGCCCCGGGGCUCGGAGGAGGAGGAGGAGGAUGACAGAAACAGGUCGGGCCGCUGGGAUGGGUGCGAGGCCACUUCAGCAGCAGCAGCAGCAGGUCACGCUUCAUCAGCAGCCUCACUCAGCCAAGUGCAGGAGAGGAAAGUGGAUGUGUUGAAAAGAGGAUGUCUCAGCUUUUUCUGAGCAGUUUACACAAAACAGCUCCAUUAUGGCUCCAUCUCCCAUGCUUCUUCUGCUAAUUGAAUAGCCCGUGAAGUGGUGACGAGGACGGGGGCGAGAGCAGCGUCUGUCCCACUGCUGCUUCAGAAAUGAGAGUAAAGCUUCCCAGAGAGAGACGCUGCUUUUUCUGUCUGUAUGAUAAAGCAUUAACAUACAGAUAUACACAAAGUGCUAACAAGUAGCUCUCAUGUUCUAUUACCGUCAUAUUCACUGCAUGUUAUUUGUUUGGAUUAAGCGUGUACUUUAAUCUCUGCGACACCCUUUCUUCCAUUAGAUACCGCCUUUCAGUUAAGGUGAUUGUCAUAUAUCCAGCUGCCAGUUAGCACAACAUCACAAAACACUUCAAACAAGCACUUUUAAAACUCACUUUUGUGUUUUGGUCUCUUUAAUCCACACCAAAGCGGGACAUGUGCACUGGACAUUCUCAUAAUACAAACUUCUGAUACUGUUUUCAAACUAUAUGACACCUUAAUCAUAUUUUAACCUGACAAGCCACAGACGACAUGCCAGCAACUGACAGGAGUCACAUUUUAAUGUUGUAUAUAAUGAAUGUUCUUCUAUAGUUUUUAUUCUAUUCUAUUUUUUUGCAUUUUAAAUAAUUGAAUGUUGUAUUUUUGAAGCAAUAUUUUGGUGAAAAGCUCUUGUAUGUAAAGGCAAAUAAAGGCAGAGGCAGGCCUCUAUCUCA